UAAAAUUAAUUUCUCUAAAUAAGAAAUAAGAGUAUUUUAUUUGCAAUCGAUUUAAUUAAACUAAAAGCAUAUUUGUCAUGCGUUAUCAAGUUCAAAUUCAUAUAUUUAUGCAAAAUGGUGGAAAUGAGUUUAAAAAAGCAAAUAAUUUUCUCAUUUCUAAUAAAAUUAGUUUAUUUUUAUGAAAAAACAAUAGGCUUAUGUCCAUUUAUAAUUGACGAAAAUGGUUUUUUUAUUCAUUCAAAUUUGGGAACAAUUUAUUCAUUAAUACUUUGUAUUUUAUAUUGUGUCUUUUAUGUGCGUGCUUUAAUUGAUCGUAGUGUGACUAUUUUUCCCAUGGAAACUAUAAUUGCAGCAAUUGUUGCUACAUUUAUUGAUGGUAUGCAAUUUAUUAUAGUAAUAAUUGCAUGGUUGAUAUUUGCAUUUCGUCAAAAGAGGGUAUUAUUUAUUUUUGAAAAUUUUAAAAGAACAGAAAAAAUAGCUAGAAAAAUAGGAAUUAAAAAUGAAGGACAAAUGAUUAUUAAAAUGCUUUGUAUUCGUAUUAGUUUUGUAAAUAUUAUUUUUGGUGGAUUAUUUUUUUCAAAAAUCGCUUUAUCCUCGAUAUCACCAAUUUUUAAAUGGAUGAUUUGGAUACCAUUUGAAUUUCCACAUAUUAUUAUUCAUAAUUGGUUCACUUUAUUUAUAACUGCUUUGGAUAUAUUGGAAUUACGAUUUCAUAAAUUAAAUGUGAAUUUAUCGAUGAUUUAUCCGAGGAAACAUUUAAGAUCAUCAAAUUCCAUACCAUUGAUUCUCAAUUAUUUUGGUAAAUUACAUGUGGAAUUAAUGGAUCUGUGUGAAAUGAUUACGAAUUUUUUUGCCCCUAUUACUUUAAUGGCACUAUUAAUAUCAUUUUUACAAAUUGUAAAAAAUUCAUAUUUUGUUUGUUUAUUUAUGACUGACACAAAAGUUCAUAAAACAGGUGAUUUAAUAGCGACCAUGUAUGGUACUCUUUGGGUCAGUGUUUUAGUCUUGGAAUUUAUUUUCAUUGCAUUUUCUUCUGGAAAUAUUCGUGAUGAGGCAAACAAUACUGGUAAUGCACUUUUUAAAUUAUGGUUGUAUUAUAGGCCAGAAAAUUGCAAAAAAUCUAUUAUUAAAAUUUCACAUCAAUUAAUUCAAAGAAAACUCAAUAUAUCUUUAUAUGGAAUUAUUAAUUUGGAUUAUAAUUUUUUAUGCAGGAUUUGUGGAGCUAUAACAACAUAUCUCAUAAUUAUGUUACAAAUGGAUGAUGAUAAUGAUUAAUUUUAAUUUUACAAAAAAAGAAAAUGGUAAUUCUAAUUGUAAAUAAUAAUUUUUUGGGAAAAUUAAUAAUAAACUUAUCAAAUUAAAAUUAUGUUAAAUAAAAAUGUCUUUUAAAGUUAAAAAAAAAUGAAAUUAUUCGGAAAAUAUACACAAAAUAAAAAUGAGAAUUUAGAGUGUUAUUUUAAAUGGGACGUUUGUGUAGAAUGAUCAUUCUCUUCCCACUACUUCAAUCGACUGAAGGCCACUAAAGCGCGGUUUCAACGUAUUAUAUGUACAGUUUGAAUCAAACAACCUCUUGUGGUCUUUCAAGAAAACGUUCGCUUCCUUUAAAAUCACAAAUAAUUUCUUAGAUUCACAUUAAAAAAAAAGAAAAAUUUAUUUCUUAAAGUGUUAAAAUCUCCUAGUGCCAAAUAUGAAGCUUUUAAUAUUUGUUAUAAUUUCCACUGUUUUAGCCAUUGGCAACUGUACAACUUGUUAUCAAUGUAUAGAAGGUGACCAGGCUAAUGUGAUAGGAUCUUAUAAACCUUGUAAUAAAUUUUUAGAAAAUAACACCUGUAAUACAACUUCUUAUUCGAAUUCUUGUGUAACUUAUAAAUCUGAUU